UACAGAGGGUGCAAGCGUUAAUCGGAAUUACUGGGCGUAAAGCGCACGUAGGCGGUUUUUUAAGUCAGAUGUGAAAGCCCCGGGCUCAACCUGGGAAUUGCAUUUGAAACUGGGAAACUAGAGUGUGUGAGAGGGGGGUAGAAUUCCAAGUGUAGCGGUGAAAUGCGUAGAGAUUUGGAGGAAUACCGGUGGCGAAGGCGGCCCCCUGGCACAACACUGACGCUCAGGUGCGAAAGCGUGGGGAGCAAACAGG
rnacentral:rRNA from 1 species